GCAAAAGUGUUUGUUUGAUUAACUUCCUUUGCUUUUGUUUUGUACAAAGGAAAAGCAGAACCUCGUCCAAAUAAAAAUAAACAAGCUGUUAAAGGCACUGUGUCCUACACAGACCCUCCAAAAUAUAACCACCCAAAACCCAAGUCAGUUGAAGGUCAACACAAACCAAAUAAAGAUGUGCAUUCUACAAACAAUAAAAAAAAGAUCAAGUUUUGUGUCCACCACACUUAGAUGAGGCGUGCCCGACCCCUGACUUUGUCUACCCUACAUUAAGUUGCACACUUCAUGACAGUAAACAUCGGUAUCACAAUGGUGUGAUUGAUCUAUACCCUAGAAUAAGCUGUGACACUAUGAGACGUGAGGUAACACAACGAAAAAAUUACCGGAUGGAGACUACCUGAUUCUUCACCUAUGGCCUCAGCUUCAAAUGCAACAUGUCCAGCAACUGUCUGAGUUGGUGGAUAUUCUUGUCAGAGACUGCGUGAACAACGUUAUGAACAGAAUGAUGUCAAAUUGUCUUAUGGCAAAGUUCAAUAUGAGGGGUGGUGGACAUCUGGAAAAGAAGUCUUUUAAAGGCACACCUUUGUAUUAUGUUAUUCAAGAUGCUGUGAAGAGGUGGAGCCCAAAUAUCACAGACUCGGAAAUAGAUGCAGCUAUGGCAGACCACCUCAAGCACGGUCCAGGAAGAGCUGGGGGUGGUGGAUACAAAAAAGCCAAACAGCUGUGAUGUGUUAAAGAGAGAGUUCACCAAAAAAGGAAAAUUGUUAUAAUUUUCUUAUCCACAUGUUUCAAACCUGUAUACCUUUAUAUUUUCUGCUGAACACAAAGAUUGAAGAAUGUUUGUAACUUCACAACCAAUUAACUGUCAAUAUUUUUUUUACAAUUGUAGUAAUGGGUUGUGGGAUCUGCUUUGUUAAAAACAUUCUUUCACAUAUCUUUGUGUUCAGCAGAACAUAGAAGGGUAUACAGGUUUGAAACAUGAGAGGGAAUAAAUGACUAAAUAUUAAUUUUUGGGUGAACUAUCCCUUUAUAGAAAGUGUUUUGAAGUUGUUAUUAUAGUUAAAUGGUUAAAAAAAUAAAAAGUGCUAAAUCAGAACAUGCUUCUUUUUUUGUUAUGGCCACAAAUAAUGUAUUCUUUAAUGUGUUUGUGAAGUACACGUGGUUAAAACGGUUUAUGGACGUUCAGGUCUGACUGGACCAAUUUUGAACUGAUUUUGAACCUUUGUGAAUAUGUGUUAAACCUCAAUACAAUUGAUUGCCUUUCACGAUGUUACACAAUGGGUGUAUAUUCAUUUUAUAUGCAUACAUAUAAACUAUGCAGCAACACAUUUAAACAUCCAGAAGACGGCACAUUUAGACGUCCAGGGACGGGCAGAAAAGACGUGUAAUUCACGGCCAGAUGACGUCAAAGACGUCGGCUCAACUUUCAUUUUGGAUAUAUUUUUCAACGCGGACGGGACGUGACGAACGGACGUCUUUUCAACGGUCAUCACACGUCCAAAUGUUUGUUGGGCUGUCUAGUUAAUCUAAGACUGUGUUCUCUGCUGCCAAUUGUAGGACCUCUGCUUCCGCUCACCUUGUUGUGGAUUUCCUUCUCCCCGCUGUGGAUAUUUCCAGCCGGAUUAUUAAGACUCUGUUCUCCACCCUCAGAAGGACUGUUCCAUCUGUCCCGGCUGUGAACAGCGAGGCUCCUUUGUCAUCUGUGCCCGGCGGGCACUGCCGCCUCCGGGCGAUUGAACUAACUCUGUUUUCUCUACCACCUAUAGACUGCCAGUCUUCUCCCGUGGUUCUCUGCCAGGCGAGGUUCGGGCUCUCCAUUUCCAUCAUCCUCCAGCGAACCGCUGCCACGGCAGAGGAGCCGUAUUCCAUCUCCGCAGUGCCCUGGGUAGAGAGUGCGCCCCAUCCCCGUGCUUCCGUGUAGCGGCGCUCUCUGGAGUGGCCUACUGGUCUUCGCCCUGUAUCGGGGCUCAGAUUACCCCUGAGACCCCGGCUGGAGUUUAAGCCAGGGGUUUCCUACUCUCUCUCCGGCGGCAGACACCUCUCUUCUCUAUCUUAUUAUUUUGUGAAUAAACUUGCCUCUGCAUUGGGA